UUAGAUCACCGAAGUCAAGCAUCAUUGGGCGCGGUCAGUACUUGGGUGGGUGACCACCUUGGGAAGACCGCGUGCCGUU
rnacentral:rRNA from 1 species